rnacentral:rRNA from 1 species
UUGGAAGCAGCCAUUCAUUUAAAGAGUGCGUAACAGCUCACUAGUCGAGGAGUUUUGCAUGGAUAAUAAUCGGGCAUAAGCCCUUUACCGAAGCUGUGGAUGUCGUAAGACAUGGUAGGGGAGCAUUCCGGCGGCGACGAAGGCCGUCCUCGAGGACGACUGGAGCUUUCGGAAAAGCAAAUGUAGGUAUAAGUAACGAUAAAGGGGGCGUGAAACCCCCUCGCCAUAAGACUAAGGAUUCCUGAUCAACGCUAAUCGGAUCAGGGUAAGUCGGGCCCUAAGGCGCAGCCGAACGGCGUAGCCGAUGGAAGAAACGGUAAAGAUUCCGUUACUGGAUAUAGGAGCGAUGUGGAGACGGAGAAGUGACACACCCGCCUGCCGACGGAAGCGCAGGUUAAAGGAAGUAGGUAAACGCCGGGUAGGCAAAUCCGCCUGGCGUGCCGAAGCUGACAGUAUCGAGAGCCCCCGGGCAAUCGAAUAGCGGUGGUAAUCAGGCUCCCAAGAAAAUCCGCUAAGCAAAUUCUAUAUCCACCCGUACCCCAAACGGACACACGUAGUCGGGUAGAAUAUACCAAGGCGCUCGAAAGACUCACGGUUAAGGAACUAGGCAAAUUGACCCUGUAACCUCGGGAAAAAGGGUCCCCAGUAAGAUGGGGCGCAGAGAAUAGGUCCAGGCAACUGUUUAACAAAAACACAGGGCUGUGCAAAAUUGAAAGAUGAAGUAUACAGCCUGACACCUGCCCGGUGCUGGAAGGUUAAGAGGAGAUGUCAUCGCAAGAGAAGCAUUGAAUUGAAGCCCCAGUAAACGGCGGCCGUAACUAUAACGGUCCUAAGGUAGCGAAAUUCCUUGUCGGGUAAGUUCCGACCUGCACGAAUGGUGUAAUGAUCUGGACGCUGUCUCAACCGUGAGCUCAGUGAAAUUGUAGUAUCGGUGAAGAUGCCGAUUACCCGCGAUGGGACGAAAAGACCCCGUGAACCUUUACUAUAGCUUAACAUUGAAUUUGGGUAAUUGAUGUGUAGGAUAGGCCGGAGGCUUCGAAGCAGGUACGCCAGUAUUUGUGGAGCCGCUGUUGAAAUACGGCCCUUUGAUUAUUUGAGUUCUAACCCGUUGUUGCGGGGACACUGUUUGGUGGGUAGUUUGACUGGGGUGGUCGCCUCCAAAAGUGUAACGGAGGCUUCUAAAGGUGCCCUCACGACGAUUGGUAACCGUCGGCAGAGUG